UAGAACUCUCACACAUUGGUGACCGUCGUUAUUGUUGCAAACUUUCUUAUCUUUUCAAUGAGCGUUCUUUCUGUCURUGUAGGCAAUUUCAAAGGGCCGGCAAGGAAGAGAAGCCCAAAAUAUUGUCCGGGUUUAUUUGGCGAAUCUACGUCUUAAAGGAGUUGGUACAGAUGUGCUAAUCUGUGCAUAUGAACCCAUUCUUAUAAAUCCUUUGAGCGAAAGUGCUAGCUCAGUUUGCUCUGGUUUGGCCACUCCUGCUUCACAAAUCGGAUGCAUGCCAAUGCCUGAGGUAUUCAAACUUGCAGUCUCCAGCUUUAAAGUCAAUGACCGGAGCCUCUUCGGCGCGCCUGCCUAAUCUAUUCAAAGAGGAGAUGGUCUCGGCCUUCAUUCUUAUUUCAUUGGGAUGUUUAAGUAGGAAAGUAAUAGCAAAGUAGUCGACAUUUCAUUGAGUUUUUAGUGCUGCAUUUUUCUUGGGUUUUGAUUUGUAGUUAAGAUAUGAAGUAGAAUAUGUACAUGGUAGAAGAGAACAUAGCCAAGGUCAUGGCAGCACCCCCACUUCUAACUUUUAAGGUGGACAAAAUAGAACAAGCAUUAGCUGUGUGUCUAAGGACCCAUAUUUUGCACCAGUGAAUCACGUGGCAAACAAAAGGUUUUGAAUAUUAAAGCAUA